AACGGCCAUACCAUGCUGAAUAUACCGGUUCUCGUUAGAUCACCGAAGUCAAGCAUCAUUGGGCGCGGUCAGUACUUGGGAGGGUGGCCACCUGGGAACACCGCGUGCCGUU
rnacentral:rRNA from 1 species